GAUGAACGCUGGCGGCGUGCCUAAUACAUGCAAGUCGAGCGAACGGACGAGAAGCUUGCUUCUCUUAUGUUAGCGGCGGACGGGUGAGAAACACGUGGAUAACCGCCCUAUAAGACUGGGAUAACUUCGGGAAACCGGAGCAAAUCCGGGAUAAAAUUUUGAACCGCAUUGUUCAGAAUUAAAAAUCGGCCUUGCUGUCACUUAUAUAUGCAUCCGCGCUGCAUUGGCUAGUUGGUAAGGUAACGGCUUACAAGGGCAACUAUGCAUAGCCGACCUGAGAGGGUGAUCGGCCACACGGGAACUGGAACACGGUCCAGACUCCUACGGGAGGCACCAGAAGGGAAUCUUCGGCAAGGGGGGAAAGCCUGACGGAGCAAGGCGGCGUGAGUGAUGAAGGUCUUGGGACCGUAAAACUCGGUUAUUAGGGAAAAACAUAUGUGUAAGUAAAUGUGCACAUCUUGACGGUAACUAAUCAGAAAGCCACGGCUAACUACGUG
rnacentral:rRNA from 1 species